GACGAACGCUGGCGGCGUGCCUAACACAUGCAAGUCGAGCGGAGUCGAUCGACGGAAGCCUUCGGGCGGAAGAUGGUUGACUUAGCGGCGGAUGGGUGAGUAACGCGUGGGCAACCUGCCUCGAAGACCGGGAUAACAGCCCGAAAGGGCUGCUAAUACCGGAUGUGGUCAAGGAUCCGCAUGGAUUUUUGAUUAAAGGGGAAACCCGUUUCGAGAUGGGCCCGCGUCCUAUCAGCUAGUUGGUGAGGUAAAAGCUCACCAAGGCGACGACGGGUAGCCGGCCUGAGAGGGUGACCGGCCACACUGGAACUGAGACACGGUCCAGACUCCUACGGGGGGCAGCAGUGGGGAAUCUUCCACAAUGGGCGAAAGCCUGAUGGAGCGACGCCGCGUGAGCGAAGAAGGCCUUCGGGUUGUAAAGCUCUGUCUGGAGGGACGGAAGGAAGUGACGGUACCGUCGGAGGAGCCACGGCUAACUACGUGCCAGCAGCCGACGGUAAAGUACUCUAU
rnacentral:rRNA from 1 species